AGUUACGUUUCAGUGCUCUGCUCUAGUUUCAGUGCUCUAGUUCUUGUGCUCGUUAAGUCUAAUAAAUAGUUCACUUUUUCACUCACUCCUACAGUUGCUCUACUUGUUUUCUUACGCUGACGCUCGACAGCUCUAGUGAAACUCUAUACUCCUCGGUACAUCUCUAUACUCCCCCGUAUAGGAAUGUCAGAGAGCAGCUCAUCUCGC
rnacentral:lncRNA from 1 species